rnacentral:rRNA from 1 species
UACGUAGGGCGCAAGCGUUGUCCGGAAUUAUUGGGCGUAAAGAGCUCGUAGGCGGUGUGUCGCGUCGGCCGUGAAAACCUGGGGCUCAACUCUGGGCGUGCGGUCGAUACGGGCAUCACUUGAGUUCGGCAGGGGAGACUGGAAUUCCUGGUGUAGCGGUGAAAUGCGCAGAUAUCAGGAGGAACACCGGUGGCGAAGGCGGGCUCUGGGCCGAUACUGACGCUGAGGAGCGAAAGCAUGGGUAGCGAACAGG